GCAUUCUCACCUAUAUAACCAAACCCCAUCCUUCCAUUGGAUUCAUCAAAGCAUAGCUCGUGUUAUCUUACUCUCUACAAAUCCCACUACAAACUUGUUGGUUCUAUAUUACAGUAACAUAAAAAAUGAGUUCAGCGAGUAAAGCUUGGUUGGUUGCCGCUGCUAUCGGAGGUGUUGAGGCGUUGAAAGAUCAAGGGUUCUGUAGGUGGAACUACACCUUGAGAUCCCUACACCACCAUGCCAAGAACCAUGUCAGAUCAGCCUCUCAGGCCAAGAAGCUUUCUUCUUCAUCCUCAGCCAUGAUCUCAAAUAUAGUCAAGGAAGAGAAGGCAAAACAGUCAGAGGAGUCUUUAAGAAAAGUCAUGUACUUGAGUUGUUGGGGUCCAAACUGAAGCUAUGAAUCUAGUAGAUGAAAUCGAGGGACUUAGUUUGUAGGAGUAAAUCCUUGCAAGCUUAUGCAAAUUGUAAAAUUUGAUGCUCAUUUGGAGCUGUAGAGGCAUUGAAGGACCAGGGUUUUUGCAGAUGGACCUACACCAUGAGAUCAUUACACAAACAUGCCAAGAAUAAUACGAGGUCAAUCUCUCAGGCCAGGAAGCUUUCUUCUUCAUCUUUUGCUAUGGUUUCGAAUAAAUUGAGGGGAUCAAGCCAAUACGAGGAGUCUCUGAGGAAAGUCAUGUACUUGAGUUGUUGGGGUCCAAAUUAAAUGAGUUUAGAAGUUUGCCAUGAGAAUCUGAUGCCUUAUGCAGGCUGAAGCUGGUCCAUUGAGAAGAACAUAGCCAAAGCCAUGAUUAUGGUUUGUGAGAGAAAAUUUGCGGGGCUUGAUUAGUGAUUGAUGCAAGCCUAGUGUUAACUGUAGCUAGUCUGACUGCCAUCUCAUGAUCAGCUUGUAAUUACACCAUUGCUAUACGCAACACGAAAAUUUUGUGGAACAAAAUAUGUUGUCACCAUCUUCCUAUCUUUUGCUAUCCCUUUUUAAUUGAUGUCCCAUGCAAUCUCAAAAAUCUUGCUUGUUCUUUGAUCAUUUCGUUGUGAGAUGUUGCCACCAAAUUUUCAUGGUUUCUGUGACAUGGGCUAAAUGACAUUCAAACAUCCUGCUUAAUUUCGAGCAUGGAUUCAGCCUUUCCUUGAUAGAUCAUGGUUUGAUGCUUAACGUCAAGCAACAAGAUUGGAAACAUGUGCAUUUUCAAUUAAGAAUUCUGGAAUUUCAAAACUUUUUCUGCAGAUCUGUCUUCCAAAUUCCUACCUGUCUAUCAGUGUGACCACUUCUCACUUCAAGCAAAGCGAUUAACUAUUUCUGUGCAUGGAUAGUAGGGCUUCGAUAGGAUUUUAGAGGCUUACCUUGAAUGGUGGGCAGAAUUUUUUAGAGCAAAGGACAUUUAUAGACUUAAAUCUUGAAGUAAGGGAUAAUUUCUUCAUCUUCUUCGCCAUCAUAUCCUCCUUAACCAUGCUACUAUUCUAACACCCACACAUACACAUGGUUAUUCAAGGCUCUUUCUCUUCUACUUAAAUUGAUUUAAGCAUUGAAGGAUCAAUCAUUUUCAUCAAAAGACUUGUUUUGAAGGUUAUCAUCCAUCCCAAUACUUUCUCAAGCAGGUUUUAGUCCAACUCAACCUAAAGAGUAACUAAUUCUUUUGGAAGGGGUUUCUACAACUUCAUCACUGUUAGCUUGAAAUUGUACUCACCUAAUUAACCCUCGUUUUAAAGUUUGUGCAUGAUUUUUUUAUAUUCAAAAGUUAGCAUUCUGAGUUUUUUUUUUAAUGUAUAAUGUGUUUAUAGGAUAUGGCUUCUAAAAAUAAUUUAAAAAUAAUGGUGCUAAUUGGUGCUUACGUAUUUUCUUUUCCCAAAUCUUAUAUAAACCUUCUGUGUAAGUUGAUGGCGAGUAGGAUUUUUAUAAAUCUUCAUGUCUGGAUGUAAGUAAUUUGCUCAAUUUUGUAAGUUCCUGAAAAGGGAUCGAUUCAAGCUUUAUGUGAAUACAUGUUUACCAUAAAAUAAAAUAUGAAAAAGAUGAAUUCCAAGAAAUCGAGAGAGAAAGAGAGAGAGAGAGAGAGCUAUCCUCAGUCCCACACUUUCUUUCAGUCCUUACAAGUGGCAAAAGCACUUCAAUGAGAAGUGCCACCAAAUUGUGACAUGCAUGACUCACCACCCUUCAGCUAUGCUCCUCCUGAUACGUUGGCUUGGAUUUAUUUAUUUUACGAAGCAAAACCGUGUGCUCAUUUCAAGGCAGGCAGAGAAGCUUUUGACUUGCUGUGGAGUGAAGGGCAAAAAAAUCUAGCCAUCCCAAGAACCCGAUUUUGUCCCCACCUUCUUGUUGUCGCCAUGUGGUAGUUGAAUGUCAAUACAGUCAUCUCACCAUAAAAAAAUACCAUUGGCUUUUGCUGGUUUCCUCACCCAAAACCACCAGCAGGAAGCCUUUAGCCUCAGGUUUUUUCCUAAACUUUUGGCAUUCUCACCUAUAUAACCAAACCCCAUCCUCCCAUCGGAUUCAUCAAAGCAUAGCUCGUGUUUUCUUACUCUCCACAAAUCCCACUACAAACUUGUUGGUUCUAUAUUACAGUAACAUAAAAAAUGAGUUCAGCGAGUAAAGCUUGGUUGGUUGCCGCUGCUAUCGGAGGUGUUGAGGCGUUGAAAGAUCAAGGGUUCUGUAGGUGGAACUACACCUUGAGAUCCCUACACCACCAUGCCAAGAACCAUGUCAGAUCAGCCUCUCAGGCCAAGAAGCUUUCUUCUUCAUCCUCAGCCAUGAUCUCAAAUAUAGUCAAGGAAGAGAAGGCAAAACAGUCAGAGGAGUCUUUAAGAAAAGUCAUGUACUUGAGUUGUUGGGGUCCAAACUAAAGUAAUGAAUCUAGGAGAUGAAAUCGAGGGACUUAGUUUAUAGGAGUAAAUCGUAGCAAGCUUAUGCAAAUUGUAAAUUUUGAUGCUCAUUUGAUGAAAUCGAACAUUAUCGCAUGUUUCUACCAUUUCUUUUGGUAACGCGCAGUGCAUUUCCCUAGUGAGUAAAUUUAACAAAGCUCUUUUCUAGUUUUCAAGUGGAAUAAACAGGCAAUUAAUUUCAAUAUGAGAUAUGAAAUUCAACUCGAGGCUAAAAUCUCUUUCUCCCCACAUCCUCAAAUGGAUAAAAAGGCUACAUGAAAAACGAAAACCUCAAAUUGGAUUUGACCCCAAAGAAAAUCCAUUUUGCUGUAAAAUUCUCAGUCACUGAUCUCAACAGGAGUGAUCGUUGUGUGAAAAAUGGAACAUAAGCUUGUACUAUCAGAUAAAUUUAUUAAUAAGUAAGAUUGGAUUAGCUUCAAUAAGGAAUUAUAAUUACGAAAGCUAAAUCUUUUAAAUUUUAGAGCAAUUAGAAAUCAAAGAGUUACAUGGUUAUUAAUUUAAAAAUUCAUAAAAUUAAUUAAAAAAUAUAUGAAUUGAUUAGAACACCUAUAUUAAUUAAAAAAAAUAAUAGGAAUGAUGCUGAUUCAAAAUUAAUGUUCAUUCUUAAAUCACUCUUACAAGCUCACUAGAAUCUCUCUAUGUUAAACCCAAAUGAAAACAAAAAACUAAAAAUAUGAGCGUUUAUUUUCAGAAAAACAAAUGGUCGUGAGACCAACACAAUUUUUGCCUAAAUUUCUUUUCAAGCGCUAAUAGUUAGCAUUAGUGGAAAGCUACCUCCAAGAAUAUGGCAUGUGGCAUUCCUCGACUCUAAUUUGGCCUUUGUUGGAUUUUUUUGUUUAACAAAACGGUGUGCUCGUGAGAAGAUAGAGACAAAGUUGAUUUGUCGCAUGUCAUGCACAAAUUAAAAAAUCCACUAACGCAUCAUGUCAUAAAAAAUACCGUUGGCCUUUGCUGGUUUCCUCCCUCGAAACCACCACCAAGAAGCCUUUAGCCUAUGGUUUUUCUCCUACACUUUUGGUACACUCACCUAUAUAACCAAACCCCUUUACUCCCCUUUACUUCAUCAAAUCAUAGCUCCUGAUAUCUUAAUCUCUACAAAUCCCACUUCAAAGAGUUUCCAACUCGUUGGUUCUAUAUUACAGUAACACAGAAAAUGAGUUCAGCAAGCAAAGCUUGGUUGGUUGCAGCAGCUGUUGGAGGUGUUGAGGCCUUGAAAGACCAAGGGUUCUGCAGGUGGAACUACACCUUGAGAUCCCUCCACCAACAUGCCAAGAACCAUGUCAGAUCAGCCUCUCAGGCCAAGAAGCUUUCUUCUUCAUCCUCUGCCAUGAUCUCGAAUAAAAUCAAGGAAGUGAGAGCAAAACAGUCUGAGGAAUCUCUAAGAAAAGUCAUGUAUUUGAGCUGUUGGGGCCCUUACUAAGCAAAGAAGCAAGAACAGAGAUUGAGGAAAUUAUCGUGAUAGGAUUACCCUGAUUGUUGCAAGUCGAUGUAAAUAUUUGUAAAUUUUGUUGCUGACUUAAUGGAAUCAAACAAUAUUAUUCUUGGAUUAGUUUUUCCUUGCACCUUUUAUGUUUUCCCACUUCUUUUGGUAGCACCUCAUGUCACAGGUGAAAACUAAAGGGAUCAUGACAAGGUUCAAUUUUAGUGCAUCACAGCAUUUGCUAAGGAUAUUUAAAUUAAUUGCAACCCCAAGCUAAAUAUCUAAUUUGGUUUAAAAAGUAUUUUAAAAAAUCAGCAACUCAACUGGAGGAGGGGUUGUAUCGCAAAAGCUAAAUAUCUUGAUAGGUUGACAAAUUAGUGCAAAUCUUAAACUGGAAUUCUCAAUUUCAAUCUGGCCCAGAAGAAAAUUAGUUUAGGAGUAUUUCUUCACUCACAAGUGUUUUUUUUAAUAUUAUAUUUUAUAAUUUUUUAGUUGAAUAUUGAAUUCUUUAAUAGUUAAGUUUCAUAUUUUUAUUUAGUUUUUUUUUUUACUUUUUUAAUUAUUUUUUGCCAUGAAUAAUCUUUUGAAUAAAUAUAAAAUUUAUUUCUAGCAACAAAAUUACUAGAUAUAAUUGAGUAAUAACGCAUAAUUAAAUAUUUUAAUCUUAUUAAAUAUUUUAAUCAAAUAUUAAUUCAUUCAAUUAAAUACAUGCAUAAAUAUUGUAAUAUAUAAUUGAGAAUUUUUUAUAUUAACAACCUCAUGAAAAACUUAAUUAUUAUUUUUUUUUUUUACUAAAAAGGAUAUAUAAUCCUCUACGAAGUGCUGUUGAAAUAGUUUACAUACAGUCCUCAUUGUGCAUGGUGAAUAUUUUGCAGGAGAUUCCCGGAUCAUUAAACAACUUCAUCAUUUAAAUGAUGAAUGCAGAGAGGUAUUUAUGGUGCAGCUUGGAUUCAGUUCAAAGAGAUCCAAUAUAUGUUUCCUUGCUUCGUCCAGAUGAAGGUUACGUUUGUGUGAUUGUGGAUGGCAGCUCUCAUGGGCAAUCCAGGCGUGUCUGGAUUUGGGGAACUGGUUUGAAACAAUGACAGUCACCGGAUGGCGGGUUUCUUGGGUUUUUGUGGUUUUGGAUUGAAUCUUCUUCCGGAACUUCUGGCAAUUAAACAUGGCUUAGCUGAAGCAUAGGAUAGAGGCCAUAGGAGGAUCAUUAUCGAUUCUCAAGAGGCAAUCAAGCUUACAAAAGAGAAGAAUUCUAAAUUUCAUAAAUUGGAUGCGGUUAUAUGUAGAUGUCAAGUUUUUUUGGCUAAGCAUGAUGUAAAGAAUCAUGAUUUGUUCCAGGUGUGGGACAUUCCUUCUCCGGGGCUACACUCUCUCCUUAUGACCGAUUCGUUGGUUCGUUGGGUUUCAAUUUUAGAAGAGUUUUUUAGUUUGUGUCAUUUAAUUUUCACUGCAUCAAAAAAAAAAAAAAUUCCUAACUAUUACUUCAACUUUCUUGCUUAUUAGCAAUCAUACAACAACAGCAGCAACAAGUAACAGCAUCACUUGUCUUUCAUCCUUUUACAGUUCCAUAACACCAAAACAGCUUUGUGAAUACAUGUUUAACCGUAAAAUAAAAUACGAAAAAAGAUGAAUUUUAAGAGAGAGAGAGAGAGGCUCUCAACUUUAUUUUAUAUUAAAGAAAACGAAAAGGAGAAGCAUGCAUUUUGACAUUUGUUUAUCCUCAGUCCCACACUUUCUUUCAGUCCUUACAAGUGGCAAAAAUGAGAAGUGCCACCAAAUUGUGACAUGCAUGACUCACCACCCUUCAGCUAUGCUCCUCCUUAUACGGUGGCUAGGAUUUAUUUAUUUUACGAAGCAAAACCAUGUGCUCAUUUCAAGGCAGGCAGAGAAGCUUUUGGCUUGUUGUGGAGUAAAGGGCAAAAAAAUCUAGCCAUCCCAAGAACCCGAUUUUGUCCCCACUUUCUUAUUGUCACCAUGUGGUAGUUGAAUGUUAAUACAGCCAUCUCACCAUAAAAAAUUACCAUCGGCUUUUGCUGGUUUCCUCACCCAAAACAACCAGCAGGAAGCCUUUAGCCUCAGGUUUUUUCCUCAACUUUUGGCAUUCUCACCUAUAUAACCAAACCCCAUCCUCCCAUCGGAUUCAUCAAAGCAUAGCUCGAGCUUUCUUACUCUCUACAAAUCCUACUACAAACUUGUUGGUUCUAUAUUACAGUAACAUAAAAAAUGAGUUCAGCGAGUAAAGCUUGGUUGGUUGCCGCUGCUAUCGGAGGUGUUGAGGCGUUGAAAGAUCAAGGGUUCUGUAGGUGGAACUACACAUUGAGAUCCCUCCACCACCAUGCCAAGAACCAUGUCAGAUCAGUCUCUCAGGCCAAGAAGCUUUCUUCUUCGUCCUCAGCCAUGAUCUCAAAUAUAGUCAAGGAAGAGAAGGCAAAACAGUCAGAGGAGUCUUUAAGAAAAGUCAUGUACUUGAGUUGUUGGGGUCCAAACUGAAGCUAUGAAUCUAGUAGAUGAAAUCGAGGGACUUAGUUUAUAGUUUAUAGGAGUAAAUCCUUGCAAGCUUAUGCAAAUUGUAAAUUUUGAUGCACAUUUUCUGAAAUCGAACAUUAUCACAUGUUUUUAUCAUUUCUUUUGGUAGCGCGAGUGCAUUUCCCUAGUGAGUAAAUUUAACAAAGCUCUUUUCUAGUUUUCUAGUGGAAUAAACAGGCAAUUAAUUUCAUUUAAUUUCAAUAUGAGAUAUGAAAUUCAACUGGAGGUUAAAAUCUCUUUCUCCCCACAUCCUCAGAUGGAUAAAAAGGCUAUCUCAAAUUGGAUUUGACCCCAAAGAAAAUCCAUUUUGUUGUAAAAUUCUCAGUCACUAAUCACAACAGGAGUGAUCAUUGUGUGAAAAAUGGAAGAGGACCUUGUACCAUCACAUAAAUUUAUUAAUAAGUAAGAUUGGAUCGAAUUCUUUUGAUAUUUAAAAAUACAGAAUUAUGUCUUUUUCUAUGUCAAAGUGUGCAGUUCAAGAAACUAGGAACGAUGCUGAUUCAAAAUUAAUGUUCAUUCUUAGAUCACUCUUACAAGCUCACUAGAAUCUCUCUCUGUUAAACCCAAAUGAAAAGAAAAAACUAAAAAUAUGAGCGUUUAUUUUCAGAAAUACAAAUGGUCUUGACCAAUACAAUUUUUGCCUAAAUUUCUAUUCAAGCGCUAAUAGUUAACAUUAAUGGAAAGCGACCUGCAUAUGACCUUCUUGCAGAAAGAAAACAACUGAACUUUUAACUUCCAUGCAUCAUAGCCAUUAAACCUGGCAUAGAUUAGAUUAGCAAAGCUGAGUCUGAAAACAAAUCCUCACAGAAAUCUGAAAACAUAAAACUAAAGUUAUUGUUUUAAUUAUUUUUCUAAUUAAUUUUAAAUUAUAAUUAUUUAUUUUCUAUUUAAUUUAUGCUAGAUGGAUUAUAUUAAUUAGAAUUUUUUUUAACUAUAAAUCCUUUUUUAUAACAAAUUUUAGAAUUAAUAUAAAUAGAAAUAUGUAGUUUAUUUUUAUAGAGAUAAAAACUAUUAUUUAUAUUUAAUAAAAAUAUAUAAAAAAUUAAAAUUUCUGAAAAGUUUAAUCUACAAUUUUAGAACUUGAAGUCUAGUUUUAUUUUGGCUAUAGUCUGUGUCAUGACUUAAACUGUCUAGUUUUUUACUGAACUGUAUUAAAUAUUAAUUUAGUAAAAUUCGAAUUGGAUUGGCUUGCGAGUUAAUCUAAUGAUCGAUUAAGUGGCCGUUUGGAUUUGCUGCAGCGGUUGCGGUUGAAAUGAAAAUAUGCAAUAUAGUGUUUGGUUAACACCAACCAUGUUUUUUAUUGAUGUGGGUCCCAGUCCAAAACUAAGGCUGGACUUCAGUUUUUGAAAAGCAAUUACCAAUUGCUUUUCAUGCGUUUUGCCCUCUCUUUCAUCGCCGACACUUUCCUCUUGUUUUCCCAACGAUCCCAACUCCUGUCCUUGAUUUUUAUGUUUCAACUCUCACAGCCUAUCCAUUUCCAAACCUCAGCAGCUUAGGAAAGAGAAAAGCUCACAAUCUGUUUUUUUUGAAAAGGUUUAUUCUACCCAUAUAACUUAUAAUUUUUUAUCGCCUUGUUAUUAAUAUGGGGUUUAAUUUUUAUUUUAUUCUACGACUGUCUAUUUUUAAAAAAAUUAUUUAAUCUAUCUUUUUUAAAUAGCAAUUAUUCUUAUAUAUAUUUUUAGUUUUAUAAUGUACCAAAGAAGUUAUUGUAAUUUAUCUUUAUUUUUUUUCUUUUAUAUUUGAUUAAAAAAAUAACCUCUAAGAUAAAAAAAAAAACAAAAAAAAACAUAUGAAUUAAAAAAAAAGUUAGGUCAAAUAUUUUAAUGCUUAUUGUAUUUUGUUUUUAUGAAAGAUAUUAAUUUUUUUAUUUUAAUAUUUAAUUACCAUUAACAAAUUUUUCUCAACUUAUCACUUCUUAGAUUUUUAUAUUUAUUUUAUUAAAUUUAAAUAAAAACUUAACAUUUUUCAAUUAAAAAAAUUCACAAUACAAUAAAAUGCAUUUACAAAAUUGGCGUUUAUUAAAAAAAUUCAUUUCUUUUGAAAAGUGCUUUUUGAAUCAUAAUUUUACCAAACACAAAACUGCUUUUUUUUUCUACCACAAUUUAAACCACAGUUUUUUAACCAAACACAAGAAACUGUUUUUUUUAAAACCACAACUCCAACCACAGUUUUAACCAAACACUAACUUUUUUUGAAAUCAAUCUCACAAAAAAUACUUUUUAUUAAACUAUUCUUUUCAAACCAUAAUUAUAAAAGCUACCACAAUACUAAACACAUUCAGUAAGGGAAAAAAAAAAAAAAACAAAAGAAAGAAAGCAUGCAGUUUCCUAGACGGUCCUGCUACCUUAAUUGAUACAGUUUCAUGCGUAUGAGCCUCCAAGAACAUGGCAUGUGGCAUUCCUCACCUCUAAUUUGGGCUUAGUUGGAUAUUUUUUUUAAGCAAAACGGUGUGCUCGCGGGAAGAUAGAGACAAGGUUGAUCUGUCGAUUGUUAUGAAUAAAUUAAAAAAUCUACACCCACCCCAUUUUAUCCCAACUUAUUUAAUGAAUCCAGUCGUCUACUAAGACAAUAGAUGCAUCAUGUCAUCAAAAAUACCGUUGGCCUUCGCUGGUUUCCUCACUCAAAACCACCACGAAGAAGCCUUGAGCCUCUGGUUUUUCUCCUACACUUUUGGUACACUCACCUAUGUAACCAAACCCCCUUACUCUCAUUUACUUCAUCAAAUCAUAGCUCCUGAUAUCUUAAUCUCUCCAAAUCCAACUUCAAAGAGUUUCCAACUCGUUGGUUCUAUAUUACAGUAACAGAGAAAAUGAGUUCAGCAAGCAAAGCGUGGUUGGUUGCAGCAGCUGUUGGAGGUGUUGAGGCGUUGAAAGAUCAAGGGUUCUGUAAAUGGAACUACACCUUAAGAUCGCUGCACCAACAUGCCAAGAACCAUGUCAGAUCAGCCUCUCAGGCCAAGAAGCUUUCUUCUUCAUCUUCUGCCAUGAUCUCGAAUAAAGUCAAGGAAGUGAAAGCAAAACAGUCUGAGGAAUCUCUAAAAAAAGUCAUGUAUUUGAUCAGCUGCUGGGGUCCUUACUAAAGCUAAGAAGCAAGAUGAAAUUGAGAAACUUAUCGUGAUAGGAUUACCCUGAUCGUUGCAAGUUGAUGUAAAUAUUUGUAAAUUUUGGUGCUGACUUAAUGGAAUCAAACUAUAUUAUUUUUUCAUUAAUUUUUCCUUGCACCAUUUAUUUUUUCUGUUUUCCCCCUUCUCUUGGUAGCACCUCGUGUCACAAGUGAAAAAGGAUCAUGACAAGGUUCAAGUUUAGUGCAUCACAGCAUUUGCUAAGGAUAUUUAAAUCAAUUGCAAUCUCAAGAUAGAAUCGAAAUUCUAAUUUCGUUACGAAAAUCUAUUUUAAAAAAGCUAGGCCUGCAACUUUGACUGGUUUUUUAAUGACAUCCAUGGAUUAAGAAAUAAUUAUUGGAUUAAAACCUUACCCCGUUUUUGGAGCCAAAUGGAAGUUAUAUAUAUAUAUAUAUAUAUAUAUAUAUAUAUAUAUAUAUAUAAUCUGUUAAAUGAAGAUCAACAGGGCUUCUUUACUUCAAUGUCAGAACUUUUGAGCAUUCAAGAAACUUGGAAUGUUGCAAAAUGGUUGAACUUGACAGAAAAGAAAUAUUUUUUUUUGAAGUGAAUAAUGUUUAGUAACGUAAUGAGAAUCCAUUUGAUCACUGCUCAAGUCGUUUAUGCAUCAAAAUUUUGCUUGAUGACAUGUCUGGAUAAGGAGAGCUUGAGAGUUGAGAACUUGGUAUUUUGUGACACACGCAAUGGAUCUACAAUUAUUGUCUGUCCUUUACUCAAGCCCCACUCCUGAAGAAAAACAGGAGGAUUUGCCUCCUAUACUUGAGGCUCACCUCGGAGUUUUAUAAAGCAAACCGUGUGCCUCUUUAUCAAAACAAGGCCCCGCUCUAGCAACAUGAUAAGAUGCAUGAAAAAGAAAUGUAUUUAAUGCCACCAAGUGGUCCUUGAUGGACAUAAAGAUUCAGUCCCAUCAUAGCUGGUGGUUUGGCUCCCUUAAGCUAAAACCACCAGCUACAGCUUGUUCCUAGCUUCCGGUUUCCUUCAAAUUUCUGGCACCUAGUCCGCUACUCUCUUUAUAAGCAAAUCCCAGUUUGCCAUUUACACCAUCGACACGAAUUCUCAAUUACAUCUCAUCCUUUUCAACUAAAAAUCUCACAUCAACGAGUUUCCAACUAUUGUUCUAUUUUAUAUUACAGAGAAAAUGAGUUCAGCAAGUAAAGCUUGGUUGGUAGCUGCUGCUAUUGGAGGUGUUGAGGCCUUGAAAGACCAAGGCUUCUGUAGGUGGAACUACACAUUGAGAUCGCUACACCAACAUGCCAAGAACCAUGUCGGGUCAAUUUCUCAGGCUAAUAAGAAGCUCCCUUAUUCAUCUUCUGCCAUUAUUUCAAAUAAAUUCAAGGAAGAGAAGAUGAAACAGUCAGAGGAGUCUCUAAGAAAAGUCAUGUAUUUGAGUUGUUGGGGUCCUAACUGAUACUCUCAAGAAAAAGGAAAUUCUGAGGAAAUCAGUUCAUAGGAUUAGAGUAAAUUUUUGCAAGUUGAUUUAAACUGUAAAUGCUUGUGCUGACAAUCAAAUAUAUCUCAUUUUAUUGGCAAAAUUUUGGGAAAAUGGCCUUAAAGUAACAUUAACAAAGGAUAUGGCUCAUGUUAAAAAAAACACCAGCAACUCAAUUGGAGGAGGAGUUGUAUCACAGAAGCUAAAUAUCUUGAUAAGUUGAUAAAUUAGGACAAAUCUUAAACUGGAAUUCUCAAUUUCAGUUUGGCCCAGAAGAAAAUUAGUUUAGGAAUAUUUCUUUACUCACAAGUGUUCACGGCAGGGUGAUGAUCACUGUAUGUGAAAUGAAAACGCUGUGUUUGUUUUCCGGAAAGUGGUUUCCGGGAAAGCACUUUCCAAACUUUCUCGUGUUUGUUUGCCAGUAGGAAAGUUGGUCAAUGGAAAACACUUUCCAGUAAAAGGAAAAUUUGGCUUGGUUUUCAGGAAAGUGUUUUCCUGAAAAAUUUGAGGGGAAAACACUUUCCAGAAGUUGUGAAAAUUUUAGAAAUGUCAUUAUUUGCUGAUUAUAUCAAAUUUGAUCCUCAAACUUUUGAUUGCUAUAUAUAUUUUGUUUUGAAUAUUUAUUUUUCAAUUUCAUCUCUUAAAAUUUUAUUUUUAUAUUAACUUUGGUCCUUAUUUUUAUAAUUGUUAUUUGCUUUUUUCUUACCAUUUUUUUAUUGAAAUUUUUUAUUUAUCAAAUUUGAUCCUCAUUCUUUUUGAUUGUUACUUAUUUUAUUUGAAAUAAUUUAUGAAAUGUUGAUUAUUAUUAUUUUAAUUUCUUCAUUUUUCAUUUUUUUUUAUUUUUUUAGAUUUGAUCCCUAUUAUUUUGAUUAUUAUUUGUUUUAUUUGAGAUAAUUUAUGAAAUUAUAUUUUUUUUUUUCAAUUUCAUUCUCAUUCAACUUUUUAAUUUGUAAGAUUUGUUCCUCAUUAUUUUAAUAAACUUGAGAAAAAUAAAAUAUUAAUAAGUUAUUUUCCAGCUCAUUUUUCAUGACAUAACUAAACACUGGAAAGUGUUUUCCAGUUCAUUUUCCAUAACACUACCAAACAUCGGAAAAUACUUUCCCGGAAUUCACUUUCCAGGAAUUCACUUUCCUCGGAAUUCACUUUCCAAAAGAAAUUCACUUUCCUGCAAACAAACGGAGCCUUAAAUUACAAAAGAAUUGUAUAAAUAAUUAACCCGAAGAAUUUUUGAAUAAUUAUAUGAUGAAUUUAUGAAAAACUUUCACACAGAAAUUGGGUUUUUAAAGACAACAAUUAUAGAUGAGAGAUGUGUGUGGGGGUCUAAAUAUGGGAUUAGCCUUAAAAAAUAUCGAUCUUGGGACGUGAAGAAUAUUUUCAAACCAAUUGAUUUGGUGAAAACUUUGGUGUUAUCAUUGAUGUUGGCAAAACGUUAUCUAGAAAAAGCUAUUGGUAUAGAAAAUAUAUACUUGAUUUUCAUAGACAUGUGAUUAUUGGCUUGAUGUUUGGAUCACGACCCCAACAAUAACAAGGAGGCGAAGGUUUAUUGCCAUUUGGGUCAACAAAAACAAUUUUGUUCUGGUAAAAAUGUAUGCCAUCAUUUUCCUCUCAUGUUUUUUAAACAAAUAUGCUCGAAAGACAUGAAAAGAAAAGAAAAAAUUAGAAAAAGAAAACUUGUUUUGUAUAGAGUUUACAAGUGUAGAUAGUUUUUGUUAAAUUUUUGCAAGAAAGAGCAAAGUUUAAUUAUCUUGCUUAGAGGUAGUUUAGUUAAAAAAAAGAGUGGAAAAGUAAGCAAUAUGAUAUCUGAAUGAGUGUACAAGUUCAAGACGCCUUACAUGAGAAGUCCAAAUUUAAUUAUCAUGUUUUGGAGACAGGUAGUCAAAAAGACUUGAAGAAAGAUUUGUGAUUUUUUUUAUAGACAAGUGGUUACAGAAUAAUGAAAAAGGAUAUCUUAUACUUUAGAAAAUAUAUGAUCAUAGUGUUUUGGAGACAUUUAUGAAGAUUCAAUUAAGACAUGAAGAUUUUAGUAUGAAAAAUUAAAGAAGCUAGAGUUUAUUUUCAAUAUAAGUUAUAUAUUUAUUACACUGAAUAGGCUAAUUUGUUUGUUUUGUUUAUUGUAAUUUCAUGCUUGCAAGAGUUAUUUUUCAAUGCUAUUGUGUAAUCUUUUAUAUAUAUAUAUAUAUUCAAUUACUAUCUUUGCUUAUUUUUUUAUUGUCUAAUUAAAAUAAAACUAACUUAUUAAAUUUAAAUGAGGCUAUAACCUGAGUUAUUUGUUUUUUUUUAUUUCUUUUAAAUAUGCUUGUGACACCUAGAUUAUAGUUGUCUUUUUUUAUUUUUUAUUUUUUAUUUUAAUUGAUACCUUUUUAAAAAAAUAUUUUUUUUUAAUUUAUAUUUGCAUUAAUAUCUCUUCUCAAUUAUUUUUUAUUUUUAAUUGAUUUUUCCUUCAAUUUCAUCCAUAUCCUUUGGUUUAAUUUGAUUUUUAAAUCAAACUUAUUUCUUAUUCUUUUGAUAUUUUUAAACCUUUUAUAAAUUGAUUUUUUUUCAAUUACAUUCCUUGGCAUUUAAUUUCAAUUUAUUUUUCUAUUAAAUUUGGUUCCCGUUAUUUGUUUUUCUUCUUGUCUUUUAUGGGGUUAGUCUCAUCCUCAUUACAAGGGUCACAAGUUUCGAAGGUUAACAUUGGUUGACUUUGAUUUUUUUAAGUUUUUUUAUCAAAUUGAUUUAUUUUUAAUUUUAUCCUAUAAUAUUUAAUUUUUUUUAAUUAGUUUUUUUUUAUCUUUUUUUAUAUGGAGUUAUCUCAAUCCUAUACCCAUAGUCUUAGAGUUAGUGGCUUAAUCCAAGUUAACUCGGAUUUGUUUUCAUAUAUAAAUAUAAUUUUCUUAAUUCCAUUGCUAAAGAUCUUUUUAUUGAGAAUUUUGCUUCGUUGUUUUUUUUGUUUGCCUUCCAAUGCAGUCGGUCUCAGUCUCAUGACCACGGUUGUGGAUUUUAAAAGUUAAUAUUUGUUAAUUUUGAUUUGUUUAGGUUUUUUUUUUUUUCAAUUUCAUCAUUCAACAUUUAAAUUUUUAGGAUUGAUCUUCAUGCUUUUUUUUUAUUCACUUUCUUUUUUAUGGGGCUAUCUCAAUCUAAUGCCCAAAAUCGUGAAGUUAGUGAGUUAACCUAGCAGAGACAAGUUUGAUAUUAGAAUAAAUGGAUUUAAAUAAUAUUUUAUUUUUAACUUUUUCGUAUUAAAAUGAUUUGAAUAUAUAUAUAUAUAUAUAUAUAUAUAUAUUUUAAAAGCAAAAACAAACUAGGUAUAAUAAUAAAAACUUAAUUUAUCUCCAUUUUUUUAAUGACCAAGUUGUAUUCCAAUAAUUGAAGGGGAAAUAGAGACCACUUGUCUUCUAAAAAAUACCGUUGGCCUUCGCUGGUUUCCUCACUCAAAACCACCACCAAGAAGCCUUUAGCCUCUGGUUUUUCUCCUACAAUUUUGGUACACUCACCUAUAUAACCAAACCCCUUUACUCCCAUUUCCUUCAUCAAAUCAUUGCUCCUGAUAUCUUAAUCUCUUCAAAUCCCACUUCAAAGAGUUUCCAACUCGUUGGUUCUAUAUUACAGUAACAUGAAAAAUGAGUUCAGCGAGUAAAGCUUGGUUGGUUGCAGCAGCUGUUGGAGGUGUCGAGGCCUUGAAAGACCAAGGGUUCUGUAGGUGGAGCUACACCUUGAGAUCCCUUCACCAACAUGCCAAGAACCAUGUCAGAUCAGCCUCUCAGGCCAAGAAGCUUUCUUCUUCAUCCUCUGCCAUGAUCUCGAAUAAAAUCAAGGAAGUGACAGCAAAACAGUCGGAGGAAUCUCUAAGAAAAGUCAUGUAUUUGAGCUGUUGGGGUCCUUCCUAAAGCUAAGAAGCAAGAUGGAAUUGAGAAAAUUAUCGUGAUAGGAUUACCCUGAUCGUUGCAAGUUGAUGUAAAUAUUUGUAAAUUUUGGUACUGACUUAAUGGAAUCAAACUAUAUUAUUUCUUGAUUAAUUUUUCCUUGCACCAUUUAUUUUUUUCUGUUUUCCCACUUCUUUUGGAAAGGAUCAUGAAAAGGUUCAAUUUUAGUGCAUCACAGCAUUUGCUAAGGAUAUUUGAAUCAAUUGCAAUCUCAAGAUAGAAUCUAAAUUCUAAUUUGGUUAAGAAAAUCUAUUAAAACAAAAUCCAGGUCUAACUUUGACUGGUUUUUUAAUGACAUAUAUAUUAUCUGUUAAAUGAAGAUCAAUAGGGCUUAUUUAUUUAAAUGUCAGAACUUUUGAACUUUCAAGAAAAUUGGAAUGUGGCAAAAUGGUUGAACCUGACAAAAAAAAAAAGUAUUUUCUUGAAUAUCUGAAAAAUGAAUUAGCUCGUAAGAAAUAAUUAUUUUGAAGUGAAUAGUGUUUCGUAACAUUAGAGAAUCCACUUGCUCACUGCUCAGGUCGUUUAUGCGUCAAAAUUUUGCUGGAUGCCAAGUCUUUAGAACGCUCGAUUAAGGAGAGCUUGAGAGUUCAGAACUUUGUAUUUUGUGACGCAUGCAAUGGAUCUACAAGACUACAAGUAUUGUCUGUCCUUUACUCAAGCCCCACUGCUGAAGAAAAACAAGUGGAUUUGCCUCCUAUACUUGAGGCUCACUUCGGAUUUUUAUAAAGCAAACCGUGUGCUCUUUACCAAAACAUGGCCCCGCUCUAGCAACAUGAUAAGAUGCAUGAAAAAGAAAUGUAUUUAUAAUUCCACCAAGUGGUCCUUGAUAGACAUAAAGAUUCAGUCCCAUCAUAGCAUAACCACGAUAAAAUAAUACCACUGGCUCCCUUAAACCAAAACCAGCAACCACAGCUUGCUCCUUGCUUCCGGUUUCCUCCCAAUUUCUGGCAAUUAGUUCCCAACUCUCUUUAUAAGCAAAUCCCAGUUUGCCAUUUACACCAUCGACACGGAUUCUGAAUCACAUCUCAUCGUUUUCAACUAAAAAUCCCACAUCAAAGAGUUUCCAACUAUUGUUCUAUUUUAUAUUACAGAGAAAAUGAGUUCAGCAAGUAAAGCUUGGUUGGUAGCUGCUGCUAUUGGAGGUGUUGAGGCCUUAAAAGACCAAGGCUUCUGUAGGUGGAACUACACAUUGAGAUCGCUACGCCAGCAUGCCAAGAACCAUGUCGGGUCAAUUUCUCAGGCUAAUAAGAAGCUCCCUUGUUCAUCUUCUGCCAUUAUUUCAAAUAAAUUCAAGGAAGAGAAGGCGAAACAGUCAGAGGAGUCUCUAAGAAAAGUCAUGUAUUUGAGUUGCUGGGGUCAAAACUGAUACUCUCAAGAAAGAAGAAAUUCUGAGGAAAUCAGUUCAUAGGAUUAGAGUAAAUUUUUGCAAGUUGAUUUAAACUGUAAAUGCUUGUGCUGAUUGCCAAUCAAAUAUAUCUCAUUUUAUUGGCAAAAUUUUGGGAAAAUGGCCUUAAAGUAACAUUAACAAAGGAUAUGGCUCAUGUUAAAAAAAAAACCAGCAACUCAAUUGGAGGAGGAGUUGAUAAAUUAGGACAAAUCUUAAACUGGAAUUCUCAAUUUCAAUUUGGCCCAGAAGAAAAUUAGUUUAGGAAUAUUUCUUUACUCACAAGUGUUCACGGCAGGGUGAUGAUCACUGUAUGUGAAAUUAAACAGGCCUUUAAAUUACAAAAGAAUUGUAUAAAUAAUUAACCCGAAGAAUUUGUGAAUAAUUAUCUGAUGAAUUUAUGAAAAACUUUCACACAGAAAUUGGGUUUUUAAAGACAACAAUUAUAGAUGAGAGAUGUAUGGGGGUCUAAAUAUGGGAUUAGCCUUAAAAAAUAUCGAUCUUGGGACGUGAAGAAUUUCAAACCAAUUGAUUUGGUGAAAACUUUGGUGUUAUCAUUGAUGUUAGCAAAACGUUAUCUAGAAAAAGCUAUUGGUAUAGAAAAUAUAUACUUGAUUUUCAUAGACGUGUGAUUAUUGGCUUGAUGUUUGGAUCACGACCCCAACAAUAACAAGAAGGCGAAGGUUUAUUGCCAUUUGGGCCAACAAAAACAAUUUUGUUCUGGUAAAAAUGUAUGCCAUCAUUUUCCUCUCAUGUUUUUUAAACAAAUAUGCUCGAAAGACAUGAAAAGAAAAGAAAAAAAUUAGAAAAAGAAAACUUGUUUUGUAUAGAGUUUACAAGUGUAGAUAGUUUUUGUUAAAAGUUUUUGCAAGAAAGAACAAAGUUUAAUUAUCUUGCUUAGAGGUAGUUUAGUAAAAAAAAAGAGUGGAAAAGUAAGCAAUAUGAUAUCUGAAUGAGUGUACAAGUUCAAGACGCCUUACAUGAGAAGUCCAAGUUUAAUUAUCAUGUUUUGGAGACAGGUAGUCAAAAAGACUUGAAGAAAGAUUUGUGAUUUUUUUUAUAGAUUUGUGAUUUUUUUUAUAGACAAGUGGUUAUAGAAUAAUGAAAAAGGAUAUCUUAUACUUUAAAAAAUAUAUGAUCAUGGUGUUUUGGAGACAUUUAUGAAGAUUCAAUUAAGACAUGAAGAUUCUAGUGUGAAAAAUUAAAGAAGCUAGAGUUUAUUUUCAAUAUAAGUUAUAUAUUUAUUACACUGAAUAGGCUAAUUUGUUUUUUUUGUUUAUUGUAAUUUCAUGCUUGCAAGAGUUAUUUUUCAAUGUUAUUGUGUAAUAUAUAUAUAUAUAUAUAUUCAAUUACUAUCUUUGUCUAUUUUUUUAUUGUCUAUUUAAAAUAAAACUAACUUAUUAAAUUUAAAUGAGGCUAUAACCUGAGUUAUUUGUUUUUUUUAUUUCUUUUAAAUGUGCUUGUGACACCUAGAUUAUAGUUGUCUUUUUUUUAUUUUUUUAUUUUAUUUUUUAUUUUAAUUGAUACCUUUUUUAAAAAAUAUAUAUAUUUUUUAAUUUAUAUUUGCAUUAAUAUCUCUUCUCAAUUAUUUUUUAUUUUUAAUUGAUUUUUCCUUCAAUUUCAUCCAUAUCCUUUGGUUUAAUUUGAUUUUCAAAUCAAACUUAUUCCUUAUUCUUUUGAUAUUUUUAAACUUUUUUAUAAAUUGAUUUUUUUUCAAUUACAUUCCUUGGCAUUUAAUUUCAAUUGAUUUUUCUAUUAAAUUUGGUUCCCGUUAUUUGUUUUUCUUCUUGUCUUCUAUGGGGUUAGUCUCAUCCUCAUUACAAGGGUCACGAGUUUCGAAGGUUAACAUUGGUUAACUUCAAUUUUUUUAGGUUCUUUUAUCAAAUUGAUUUAUUUUUAAUUUUAUCCUUUAAUAUUUGAUUUUUUUAAUUAAUUUUUUUUAUCUUUCUUUAUAUGGGGUUAUCUCAAUUCUAUGCCCAUAGUCUUAGAGUUAGUGCCUUAAUCCAAGUUAAAUCAUAUAUACAUAUAAUUUUCUUAGUUCCAUUGCUAAGGAUCUUUUUGUUGAGAAUUUUGCUUCAUUGUUUUUUUUUGUUUGCCUUCCAUGCAGUCGGUCUUAGUCUCAUAACCACGGUUAUGGAUUUUAAAAGUUAACAUUUGUUAAUUUUGAUUUGUUUAGGUUUUUUUUAAAAUUGAUUUUUUUUUAAUUUUAUCAUUCAACAUUUAAAUUUUUGGGAUUGAUCUUCAUACUUUUUUUUUUCACUUUUCAUUUCAUGGAGCUAUCUCAAUCUAAUGCCCAAAAUUGUGAAGUUAGUGAGUUAAUCUAGAUUGACCAAAAUCUUUUUUUAUUGAUUUUUUUAAAAUAUUUAUUUUUAGUUGUCACUCAAUAUUAGAUUGUUUGAGUUUCAUAUUUUUUUCAAUUUGUUUUUGUUAACAAUUCUUUGUAUUGUUUAUUGGCACGAAUAAUCUUUUAAUUAAACAAAAAGUUUAUUCUAUAAAACAAAGUUAUUGAACAUAAGUAAGUAGAUAACAUGGGUUGCAUGAUCAAAUAUUUUAAUCUUAAUAAGUCAUUGAUUAAAUAUUAAUUUAUUUAAUUAAAUAUAUGUAUAAAUAUUUUAAUAUAUGAUUGAGAAUUUUUUAUAUAAAAAACAUGAAGAAAAACUUAUUUAUUCUUUAUUUUUUUAUUAAAAAAUUAAGAUAUAUAAUCCUCUACGAAGCGCUGUUGAAAUAGUUUAUUGUAGUUUUCUAGACCAUCACAAUUGUUUACAGACAGUCCUCACUAUUACUUCAAUUGUCUUCAAAAACAGUCUUGCCCAAAACAAAACAUUGAUUGAUAAGUGACAAACCCCAUUUGUUUAAUGCGUGUGACUCAGAGCAGAGACAAGUUUGAUAUUAGAAUAAAUGGAUUUAAAUAAUAUUUUAUUAUUUUUUAAAAAAAUAUUUUUAACUUUUUCAUAUUAAAAUGAUUUAAAAAUAAUAAUAAAAAAUAUAUUUUUUUUUAAAGCAAAAACAAACUAGGUAUAAUAAAAAAACUUAAUUUAUCUCCAUUUUUUUAAUGACCAAGUUGUAUUCCAAUAAUUGAAGGGGAAAUAGAGACCACUUGUCUUGUAAAAAAUACCGUUGGCCUUUGCUGGUUUCCUCACUCAAAACCACGACGAAGAAGCCUUGAGCCUCUUGUUUUUCUCCCACACUUUUGGUACACUCACCUAUAUAACCAAACCCCUUUACUCCCAUUUACUUCAUCAAAUCAUAGCUCCUGAUAUCUUAAUCUCUCCAAAUCCCACUUCAAAGAGUUUCCAACUUGUUGGUUCUAUAUCACAGUAACAGAGAAAAUGAGUUCAGCAAGCAAAGCUUGGUUGGUUGCAGCAGCUGUUGGAGGUGUUGAGGCGUUGAAAGACCAAGGGUUCUGUAGGUGGAACUACACCUUGAGAUCCCUGCACCAACAUGCCAAGAACCAUGUCAGAUCAGCCUCUCAGGCCAAGAAGCUUUCUUCUUCAUCCUCUGCCAUGAUCUCGAAUAAAGUCAAGGAAGUGAGAGCAAAACAGUCUGAGGAAUCUCUAAGAAAAGUCAUGUAUUUGAGCUGUUGGGGCCCUUACUAAGCAAAGAAGCCACAUGAAAUUGAGGAAAUUAUCGUGAUAGGAUUAGCCUGAUUGUUGCCAGUUGAUGUAAAUUGAUUUUUAAAUAUUGUUGCUGACUUCAUGGAAUCAAACCAUAUUAUUUUUGGAUUAGUUUUUCCUUGCACCAUUUAUUUUAUAGUUUCUGUUUUCCCAUUUCUUUUCUCAGGCCCUCAUGUCGCAAAGUGAAAAGGAUCAUGACAAGGUUAAUUUUAGUGCACCACAGCUUAAAAAAAAAUUGAGGGGCAUUUGUAUUCAAAGAUAUUUGCAUCAAUCGGAAUCUCACUACAAUCUAAAUUAUAAUUUGGUAAAAAUAAAAAUUCAAUUCAAGAAAAAUUAGAUUCGAUUUAGAACUUAUACUGGUUUUUCAAAGACAUAAAUGGAUUAAGAAAUAAUUAUUGGACUUAUCCCCUUUUUGGAGCCGAAAGGAAGUUCAUUAGUCUUUUGGUUUUUUGCAUAAAUGAAGAUGAAUAGGGAUUAUUUUCUUCAAUGUCAAAACUUGUGAAAUUUCAAGAAACUUGGGAAUGCUGCAAAAUGGUUGAACUGGCACAAAAAAAUUAGUAUUUUCUUGAAUCUCUGACAGAUGAAUUAGAUCGCAAGAAAUACUUUUUUUUGAAGUGAAUAAUGUUUCGUAACGUAAGAGAAUCAUUUCUCUACUACUCGUAAAAACAUAAAUUAUUUGGAUUCUUUUUUUUAAGGUUUAGCUAUAUCUAUUGGUGUAAAUAUUAUAAUAACUUUUUUUAUGUAAAAUUAGCAGUUUGUUUUAUAAAACAUUUAGCAAAAUAAUAUCAUUUAAAAAAGAUUUGAUUAAAUAACAUGUUUUUAUCAUAUCAUGCCAAAUAUGAUAUUUAUUAAAUGUUGUUAUUUGUAGAAGUAACAAAUUGAAACUCCAAUCAUCUAGCUCAACAGGUUAAUUAAUUGAAUUAAGUUAUAGUAGUUAUAUAAACUGAUCGAUGUUUUCAUAUAAAAAUGAUAAUUUAAUGAAUUUUAUUAAAAUAUUUUUUAUGAAUCAAAAUAUAUAUCUUUUUUCAACUUAUAUACAAAAAAAUAGAUUUUAAUUAAAAUCUUAAAAUAUUAUUAUUCACAUAGUGAUUGUCCUUUGUUUUUCAUUGUCAAUGAUGUAGCUAUAUUUGCAAUAACUGGUAAUUCUAAAUAAUCAGAUGCAACUCUGCUGUAACUAAAUGAGAUUUGGCCCAAACAUAUUAUUUGGAUAGCUUUGCAUUUGUGAACUAAUAGGACAUGUAUAAACUUAGAAAGAAGGUCUAAUUAUACCAUAACAAAAUAAUGCUUAAAAGAACCAUAACUUUUGAUUAGACACUUAAAUUCUUUACAUGAGUUUUCAGAGGAAGUUUUUUCUAUUGUAGCUACUGUAUCGCUAUAUGAACCGUUAGAUUUUUAAAUAUAAAAAAUCUAGUUGAGUCACUUUGAUUUUAAUAACUUUGAGAUUUUUUUUGUUAUUUUUCGAAUCGAUCAACUGGUUUCACUGACCAUUAUGAAUCGGUUGAGCCAGAUAAUUGAAAUUUCACCUUGUCAUGUUUUAAAAGUGUGAUAUUUAUUAAAUGUCGCUAUUAUUUUAAUUUUUUUAAAAAUAAUAAUAUUUAAUAAAUAUUAUAUUUUUAAAGCACAAUAAAAUCAAAAUAUGCCAUUUCAUAAAAAAAAAAAUCUUCUCUGUUAAUUUGCCAAUUGUUUUGAUUUUAUUCACUAAUUUCCUAAUUUAUCCCUUUUUUUCCGUAACACAGCUAGCUAUAAUGUGCGGGUUCUUCAUUUAUUUAUUUUUCUCAACUGUGAUACAUAACAAUUAAUUUUUUUUCCACGUUUGUUAUUUUGGAAAAAAAAAAAUCGUAUCUUGUGACACAUGCAAUGGAUCUACAAUUAUUAUUGUCUUCAGGAGGUAAUCCUGUCCGUUCCCUGUUUUUGAGUAGAUGCCUAGACAAAUGCUAAAAUGCUAUCCUUCCAGCCCCACUACUAAAGAAAAACAAGUGGAUUUGCCUCCAAUACUUGAGGCUCAAUUUUGAUUUUUAUAAAGCAAACCGUGUGCCUCUUACCAAAAACAAGUCCCCACUCCAGCUUUGUCGUAAUUGAAUAUGAUAAGAUGCAUGAAAAAGAAAUCCCCCAUUUUUUCUCCAUUUGUAUUUAAUGCCACCAAGUGGUCCUUGAUGGACAUAAAGAUUCAGUCCCAUCCUAGCCUAACUGCACUAAAAUAAUACCACUGGCUUUAACUUGUGCCAAAACCACCAGCCACAGCUUAUCCCUGGCUUCCGGUUUCCUCCAAUUUUCGGGUCCUCUAGUCCCCUCCUCUCUAUAUAAGCAAUCCCCAGCUUGUCAUCUCCACCAUCAAACACCAUUUCCCUUCUCAAUUACAUCUCAACUUUUUCAAAACGUUGUCCAUCUUCUAGCUCUUCAGUUCAAUCGAAAGAAAUAGAAAAAUGAGUUCAACAAGCAAAGCUUGGGCUGUUGCCACUAGUAUUGCAGCUGUGGAGGCUUUGAAAGAUCAAGGAUUUUGCAGAUGGAACUACACAAUAAGAUCACUAUACCAACAUGCCAAGAACCAAGGCAAGUCAUCCUCUCUGCCCAAGAAGCUCUCUUCUCCAGCUUCUACUGUGGUUGCCGGUAAAGUAAGAGAGAAUCAGAAAGCAAGGCAAUCCGACGAGUCACUGAGGCAGGUCAUGUACUUGAGUUGCUGGGGUCCUUACUAGCCAGGCAGUGAACUACCAGCAAGGAACUAUGGCCAUGCAUGCACUGGUUGCAGCAUAGAGACAAUCGAAGUCUUUCCAAGAGAGACUUAUUUGGAGAAACAUGACAAGGCCGACUUCUUAUGACGAUGGACGCUGGAACCCAUCAACGAUUAGUCAGCUUCAUUUGAAUGUUAUGCUCUAGCAAUAUAUGUUUCAAUCAAUUGUAGCCCAAUGAAUUGCUGAAUGAUGGGAGCAAAUUCUUUCCAUUGCUGCAACAACUUGCAAGUGAUGUAAAUUGUAAUUUUUCAGAAUGUAACGGCAUUUAAAUUAAGACUCAAUUGAAUCAGUAAGCUAAUUACAUGAGUGGAUUAAAGUCUUGUUCUCUGCUUUUAGCCCAUAGGGAAUAAUUACUACAACGUCAAAACCUGUGUGCCUUCAUGAAACUUGGACUGUGGCAGAGUGGAUGAACCUCACACGACACUUUCUACUAUAAGUUUAUAUAUUGGGAUUAGGCUGCAGUCAAGUCUUGAGUAACAAAAAUUAAACCGGGUGGGGUUUUUUAUUGUGGCAGUGUGCGACAUCGCGGCGAAAAAUAUAAGUGUUUUUCAUUUUAAAUCGACAAUGUAAAUCUAUAUCUAUUUUAAAUCUACAAUGUAAAUCUAUAUCUAUUUGGCAAAUGGAGAGACAAGAAAUUCUUGUUUUUUGUUGGUGGAAAAUGGAAUGGGAGUCGUCACCUAGUAUUUUGGUCACUAGAAAUUUUAACUGGUCUCAGAGAUCGGGCACGGGGACUGGUUGCGUAAAGAGAAGGUAUUAGCACCCCAAAUACGCCUUACCUAAGAUAAGCUGCAUUAUUUUAUUGUCUGAUAAAAUCUAAGGUCUUUUCGUGUUUUCCUAGUUGUUGGUAUAGUUCAAGAAAAGUCCUCCUCGGUAAGGAGAUCCUUAUCUUAAUGGGUAAUUCUGACGUUAACAAAAGAAUUUAAUAUUCAGAAUAUGUCUUACGUAUAAGAUCGUAACCCCAAAUACUAAGUCCUCCUCGGUAAGGAGAUCCUUAUCUUAAUGGGUAAUUCUGACGUUAACAAAAGAAUUUAAUAUUUGGAAUACGUCUUACGUAUAAGAUCGUAACCCCAAAUACUAAAAGAAAACACAAUAAUUUUUUUGGAAGUUUUGAAAUAUUGGUCUAGUUCUCAUGGCUUGAAUAAACUGGUUAUUAAAGCCAACAUGCAUGUUAAUACAUAUAUUGUUUUGAAGUUUCCUUUGUUGCGUGAAAAUACGAUGUUAUAAUAUUUAUAUAUAUAUAUUGGAGAGACUAGGCCGUAUGCAUUAAAACAAAAACAUUUUUUUUAUAUAUAUAUUUUUGAUGUUUUGACGAAAACCGGGUAUUUUAAUACUUGAUUUGUAUCUUUACGGUAUAAAAAUACAAACCAAUAUUAAACCAUUUUGACAAAAAAAUAUGCAGGAAAAUCAUAGGAUUUUUUAUAAUAUAUUUUUUUGAAAGCAAAACAUUUUUUAUUUUAAAAUUUUUUGAUGUUUUGACGGAAACCGAGUAUUUUAAUACUAGAUUUGUAUCUUUACAGUAUAAAAAUACAAACCAAUAUUAAACCAUUUUGACAAAAAUAUGCAGGAAAAUAAACAAUAUUUUUUUCAAAUAUUUUUUAGAAUAUUUCUUUUUAUUUUAUACACACACAUAAUAUAAAACAAUAUAAUAUAUAAUAUAAUAUAUAAUAUAAUAUAUAAUAUAAUAUAUUAUGUGGGCUGGGCCGACCCAAAUAAAUGGGCCAGGCUCAGCCCAGCAUGGAUUGGGCCAAUCUCGGCCCAUUCAAUCUCUCAUUUUUGUCUGGGCCAGACUGGCCCAGAAUCAAUCUGGCCCAGCGCAAGAAACCCAUCGAGAGGGGAAUUAUUUUUCCCCUCCUAUCAAUUCUACAUGCAGGAGGAAAACGCCACGAGAAAAAAAUGCAGGGAGAAGACUUUACCUGGCGUGGAGGAGGUGGUCGUUGGUGGUGCUGCGAUGGAGGCCGGUGGCGGUGUCGUGGCUCACGGACGGCGGCUCCAAGCGGCGGUGCUGCUGUUUCAAACGGCGGAGGGUGAGGAUACUGCUCUUCCUUUCUCCUCCGUAUGGCUUCCUCUUCUUUCGUUUUUGGUGGUUUCCUCAGUUCGGGUUUGCUAGUUGUUCUUUUUGGUUCGGUUCUUUCCCUCCUUUUCCUAUGUUUUCUCUUUUUUUUUCUUUCGGUUUGUUCCUUCUCUUCCCUCUCUACUGAUCGUUCUCUCUCUUCGGGUUUUCUCCUUUCUUUCCCCUCUCUCUAUUCGAGCCUCUCUUUUCGUUUUCUUUUUUUUCCUCUUUUUUCCUCCCCCUCGCGUGCUGGCGUCCAGUCUUCAUUUAUAUGGGGCAAGGGAGCGGGGGCGUCGCUAUUGCCACCCUAUGGCAGCGCACGGGGAGCAGGGCUUUGCUGCCCUGCCACAGCGCCGGGCUGGCUGGCCAGUGGGCGUGGCUGGUAGGGCGCGGCUCCCUCGACUUUUCAUCAUGAGAGCGCAUGGGGGGGCGGUUUUGGCAGAUGUGGCAUGUCGGGUUCAACGACGAAAGAAGAAAAAAUUGCCUUCCCCUGCUGCACGUCCAGGGGAAGAGAUAGGGAACAGUGUCGUUCAAAACGACACUAUUCUGUUUUUUUUUUUUUUAACAUGAAACGGCGCCAUUUUAGACAAAACGCGCCGUUUCAUUUAAAUCAAAAAGGGGCGCCGAAAGGCGUCAUUGUCCAAGUCAGUCCUUAAUUAUAUUUUGUUCAUUUCAAUUGCAUCCCUUCCAAUUUCGGUCGCCACCCCUAUAUUUGUCCGCGUUUUUCACUUCAAUCCUUGGCCUCUGAUUUAUGCAAUUUGACCCUCAAUUAAUCAAUAAACUUCCAAUUUCUUCAAUUUAGCCCAUGAUUUUGUUAAUUACAACCCCUAUAUUUACACGCCUUUUCCAAUUUGGUCCUUGGUUUCGGAUAUUCUCAAUUCAGUCCCUAAUUGGCCAUUAAAGUUCAAUAUUUAUGCAAUUAAGCCCUUGAUUUGACCAAAUCAAUUCCUAAAAAUUAUAAUUUGACCCCAGAACUUUAAUUUCUUCCAAUUAAAGCCCAAAUUGACAUAAAAAUCAAUUUUUCUUGCAAUCAAAACCUCUAUAAAUUCAAUUAAACUUGCAAUAAAAUCCAAUUAAGUCCAUAAACAUCCAAUUUUGAACUUUUCUCUUCAAAUUGAAUUUUUUUCUUUUCCAACUGGGCUUUCAUCAUUCAAGGAUACACUGUCAAAAUUUCAAUCUUUGUAUUUUUAACCUCCUAUUAUUUUUUUAUUUUUUUAAUUUCUUCCGGCUAUAUAUAUAUAUAUAUAUUUAUUAUUAUUAUUAUUUAUUACUUUUAUUAUUUAUUUUGAUUUUUAUUAUUUUUGUUAUUAUUAUAUUUUUUAUUUAUUUUUAUUUUUAUUUUUAUUUUUGUGUGGGGACCCAAAAAUGGGUUACAACAUCGAUGUUGAAGAUGCACUAUUUACUUUUUCAAAGAGAUGAUUGGAUUAAAAGAAAAAAAAAGAAGAAGGUAAAAUGUAAGGUGAUUUUGAAUUUUAUAUAAAAAGUUUAUCGUGGUUUUUUAUAUAUUUAUUUUUAUAGAUGAUUGGUCCGAAAUUAAAUUUAGAUAUCAAUUUUUUUUUUAGUUUUUUUUUAAGAGGAAAGGACUAUUGGAUUAGUAGAGAGAGAAAAAAUAAUUAUUAACGAUUAUUCUAGCCAUAAAAAAUAAUUAAAAUUGGUGUUAAUAGAUUAUAUUUUUUACAACGAUAUUUAGUUGACGGAUUCGGCGAAAAAACAAACUAUGCGUAGUUUGUUGUCUUCAUUCUCGAGGGUUGGGUUGGAAGGCUUACGUGUUUGUAUUGCUUUUAUUUUUUUUUAUUUUUUGAUAUUUUAUAUUUUAAUUAAAAAAUUAAUAAAAAAUUUAUUAAAUUCAAUCAAAUUCAUGAGGAGUUUCUGCUUCUCAAAAAAAAAAAAAAAAUCAUCUCUUAUUAAUGAUGAUCUAUUUUUUUAACUCCAACUUAAAAUAGUGCAAUUUUAAUUUUACUAUUAUUAUCAAUAAUAUACUUUUGCUAUAUUAGCACCACGUCCCUAUCAUGAUUUUUUUACUUAACAAAAAAUAUUUCAUACAAAAAAAUUAUCAUGUGCUUUAUUGUUUUUAUUGUUAUGUAAUUAAAUGAAAAAUAAUUUUUGGAAUCAAAAAAUUAUUGAAUUUGAUGACUAACAUGAUUUGCUUUGUGAGUUUGACUGGCCGAGUCGAGUUGAUUUAAGUUUUUAAAUUAAAUACUAUUUUUUUAACCGAUUUUGUUCUUCAACAUUGAGUUAAUUUAAGAUUAAGCUUUUAAUUUGUUUUUUUAUUUUAUUUUUCAGAUUAUCCCUACAACUUUUAUAUCACAUCCAUGUUAAUUUAGGUAAAUCAAAUAUUUUUUUUUAUCUUAAUAUUAAAUAAAAAUAUCGUUCAAUUCAUAAUUAAAAUCUAGUUUUUUAGAAGACACAUCACUAAUAUUUAAAUAAUUUUUUUGUUUUUAAUUUAAAAUCUGCUCCAAACCCACGGCAUAGGGCGGUAGUUCAAAGCUCCGUAAAAGGAAUUCACAAGUUAGAGCAAAUAUUUGGAGUAAUUAUUCAUAAUCUUUCGUAAAAUAGGUAAACCAAUUUAUUUUCUGAUCACAGUCCAUGUCGUUUCCAUAUCAACAUUAUGCAUCACGAGUCAUUUUUGCUUUUUUUGAACCCCUUGCAACUAAAGUUAUUAAAUUGGAUAUGCUAAUAACUUAUUUUAAGAUUUGGACUAAACAAGUUAAUUUAAAUUGUUUUUAUUAAUUAAAAUAAUAUUAUUUAAUUUAUUUUUUAAAAUUAAAUUAAGUUUGAAACUAAUUCAAUCAUGUGAUAAUUUGAUCCAUCAUAUAGUUUAACUAAGUUAAUUAUCAUCUACUUUUUUAAAAAAUUAACUUGAUUCAGGUUUAAUAAUAAUUAUCAAAACUUGAGAACUGUUUUUUCCUUAAGUUUUACUUAUUUAUUUAUCUUUUUAGUGAUAUAUAAAUCGUUAAAAAAUAAUAUAAAUUAUAUCCUGGAAUUUUGCCUAACCGAUUAAGCUAUUAAGUUAAGAUGGUUUUUUGAUAUAGUAUCAGAGCGUUGAUGAUCAAGCGGUCACGAGUUCGAAUCUCACCAUCCCUAUUUAUUUAAUAAAAAUCAAACACAAGAUAAUAUGAGUUUGUGCAAGUUUCAAGUCCAAAUGACUUUUAUUUGAGGAGGUGUCAAUUUAAACUAUUAAAUUGAAAUAAUUUUUUUGAAACGGAAGGAUUCACAAUUAUUGUGUUCAUGAUGUGAUCCUAUACUUUUUCCUGUUUUUGAGUAGAUGACUAGAUAAAAUUUAUUUAAAAAAAAAAAUCAAAACGACAUUGUUUUAGUAAAAAAGAAAACAAAAAAAAUAAAAGCCAAUAAGUUUGUGGCCGGGUCUUUACCAGAUCUUUCCAGGUCAGCCGGAUCACACCAAAUUUUUCCUUUCUUUAUUUUUUUUUCAACCCGGUCCGGUUUCGUUCCCGGAUCGACCUACCAGGUCAUCAGGUUUCAAAACUAUGUCGAAGGUUACCACCUUUGGUUUUUUAUCUCUAUUUUUUAAAUGACCAAGUUGUAUUCCAAUAAUUAAAGGGGAAAUAGAGACCACUUGUCUUAUAAAAAAUACCGUUGGCUUUUGCUGGUUUCCUCACUCAAAACCACCACGAAGAAGCCUUGAGCCUCUGGUUUUUCUCCUACAAUUUUGGUACACACUCACCUAUAUAACCAAACCCCUUUACUCCCAUUUACUUCAUCAAAUCAUAACUCCUGAUAUCUUAAUCUCUCCAAAUCCCACUUCAAAGAGUUUCCAGCUCGUUGGUUCUAUAUUACAGUAACACAGAAAAUGAGUUCAGCAAGCAAAGCUUGGUUGGUUGCAGCAGCUGUUGGAGGAGUCGAGGCCUUGAAAGACCAAGGGUUCUGUAGGUGGAACUAUACCUUGAGAUCGCUACACCAACAUGCCAAGAACCAUGUCAGAUCAGCCUCUCAGGCCAAGAAGCUUUCUUCUUCAUCUUCUGCUAUGAUCUCGAAUAAAAUCAAGGAAGUGAAAGCAAAACAGUCUGAGGAAUCUCUAAGAAAAGUCAUGUAUUCGAGCUGUUGGGGUCCUUACUAAGCAAAGAAGCUAGAACAGAUUGAGGAAGUUAUCGUGAUAGGAUUAUCCUGAUUGUUGCAAGUUGAUGUAAAUUGAUUCGUAAAUAUUGUUGCUGAC
rnacentral:lncRNA from 1 species